CAAAAAAAAAAAAAAGGCUAAUGCUAUCAGCUUGUGAUGUGUGUGUUGUUUUUUUUUUUAAAAUUAUAUGGGUGUUCAAACAAACAUUACUUUUGCAGAAAAAAAAAUGCUUUGUUACAUUCUGCCUUAGUGAAAAGCAUACAUUUUUGAUUUGGUAAAACAAGGGAAUGGAAGUCAUUUUGUUUUGGAAAGUUCUGCAUUGAAAGUAAAAGUCUGUAAAUGAUGUACAUAUUUUAGGAUAGUGUCUUUCAAAAUGUGAGCUCUUCACACUGGAGUAAUUGUCUGUGUGAGAGUGUGCUUAUGAAAGGUCACAUUGAGUAAAAGUUGAAUGGGUUAAAGGUCACAGUGUGACUCUCAGACGGUGUGUUCAGUAAACUUGUGAUUCCCCCCUCUCAUGACAUAGUUGUUGUAGAUAACCUGGACAGUAAGCGCCAUUUUAUUUUUAGACAUGUGAUAUUUGCAGUAAUUUUUUUUUUCAAAGAACAAAAGUGAAGAGAAUUCAGAGAAUAUUUUUGAAAUCAAAUUCAUGUGCCAUUGGAGUUUCAAAACAUCUAGACCGAAGUCAGAAGUACUUUUAUUACUGCAACCGAAACAAAACAUGUUCACUAAAAAUAAAAUUAUAUACAAUCCCCACCCCCCAAUAUUUGCUUUAGCAAGCAGGGUUCAGUGUAUUGAGAUAAUAUAUAUGCUUGUGUGCUUUAUCUUAGUGAAUAUUCAUGUAAAAAUCUCUACAAUGAUCCAGUUAUUUGAUCUUUUUAGACUUAGUUUACGAAAUGCACAUUUUUAGUUGUUAUUUUGCACCAUGUAAUCCAAUGAACAAAUUUGUUUUCAAGACAAGAUUUUGUAUUUUCUUAAAAGUAGAAGUGGUGAGCAGAGAUGUGCAGUCUGGGAUUUGUCUAACUGCUGCCUUACAUCUUACUUUCUAGUCUGUCAGCAGGUUUUAUCAAAGUAUCCAAGAACCUUUUGAAUUGUGAGCAAGGGUACACAGCACACUAUGAAAAUUUCCAUUAGAGAAUCAGAGCACAUUGCAUCCCAUUAGAAAAAGCACAUUGCAUCCCCAUUAGAGAAUCAGAGCACAUUGUAUUCCUAUUAUCUAUGACUUCUGAAUAGGGCCUCUUCACCCCAAGUCCCGUAUUAGUCUGGACCCCCAAUCCUGGCCUGUUAUUAGCACCAGAAGCUACAAGAAAUAUGGUCAUGCUGGAGAGAUAAAAAUUGUUAGAUCAUAGAGUUGAUGCCAAGGAUUGUUAACAGGAUUAUUCUGUUUCUGUGUGUCACUCUUAUUCCUAGUGACCCCCCCCCCCCCUCCC